rnacentral:rRNA from 1 species
AGCGAACGCUGGCGGCGUGCCUAACACAUGCAAGUCGAACGCUGAGUUUGUCGUAGCAAUACGAUGAACAAGGCGUGGCGCACGGGUGCGUAACGCGUGGACAACCUGCCCACGAGUGGGGGAUAACCCCGGGAAACUGGGGCUAAUACCGCAUACUCUUUCCUGGAUGUCGAUCCGGGAACGGAAAGCCGCAAGGCGCUCAUGGAGGGGUCCGCGUCCGAUCAGCUAGNGGUGAGGUCAUGGCUCACCAAGGCUAAGACCGGUAGCUGGUCUGAGAGGACGACCAGCCACACUGGGACUGAGACACGGCCCAGACUCCUACGGGAGGCAGCAGUGGGGAAUAUUGCGCAAUGGACGAAGGUCUGACGCAGCGACGCCGCGUGGAGGACGAAGUCCU